GACGAACGCUGGCGGCGUGCUUAACACAUGCAAGUCGAACGGAAAGGCCCUGCUUUUGUGGGGUGCUCGAGUGGCGAACGGGUGAGUAACACGUGAGUAACCUGCCCUUGACUUUGGGAUAACUUCAGGAAACUGGGGCUAAUACCGGAUAGGAGCUCCUGCUGAAUGGUGGGGGUUGGAAAGUUUCGGCGGUUGGGGAUGGACUCGCGGCUUAUCAGCUUGUUGGUGGGGUAGUGGCUUACCAAGGCUUUGACGGGUAGCCGGCCUGAGAGGGUGACCGGCCACAUUGGGACUGAGAUACGGCCCAGACUCCUACGGGCGGCAGCAGUGGGGAAUAUUGAACAAUGGGCGGAAGCCUGCUGCAGCAACGCCGCGUGCGGGAUGACGGCCUUCGGGUUGUAAACCGCUUUCGCCUGUGACGAAGCGUGAGUGACGGUAAUGGGUAAAGAAGCACCGGCUAACUACGUG
rnacentral:rRNA from 1 species